rnacentral:rRNA from 1 species
AGCGAACGCUGGCGGCAGGCUUAACACAUGCAAGUCGAGGGGCAGCAUGAUUGUAGCAAUACAAUUGAUGGCGACCGGCAAACGGGUGCGGAACACGUACACAACCUCCCAAUAAGUGGGGAAUAGCCCAGAGAAAUUUGGAUUAAUACCCCGUAACAUAACGAUGUGGCAUCACAUUGUUAUUAUAGAUUUUUCGCUUAUUGAUGGGUGUGCGGCUGAUUAGAUAGUUGGCGGGGUAACGGCCCACCAAGUCUACGAUCAGUAGCUGAUGUGGGAGCAUGAUCAGCCACACGGGCACUGAGACACGGGCCCGACUCCUACGGGAGGCAGCAGUAAGGAAUAUUGGACAAUGGACGCAAGUCUGAUCCAGCCAUGCCGCGUGAAGGAUUAAGGUCCUCUGGAUUGUAAACUUCUUUUAUAAGGGACGAAAAAAGGCUUUUCUAAGUCGUCUGACGGUACCUUAUGAAUAAGCACCGGCUAACUCCGUGCCAGCCGCCGCCGUAAUAC